rnacentral:rRNA from 1 species
AACGAACGCUGGCAGCAGGCUUAACACAUGCAAGUCGAGCGCCCCGCAAGGGGAGCGGCAGACGGGUGAGUAACGCGUGGGAAUCUACCCAGCUCUACGGAAUAACUCAGGGAAACUUGUGCUAAUACCGUAUACGUCCUCCGGGAGAAAGAUUUAUCGGAGCUGGAUGAGCCCGCGUUGGAUUAGCUAGUUGGUUGGGUAAUGGCCCACCAAGGCGACGAUCCAUAGCUGGUCUGAGAGGAUGAUCAGCCACAUUGGGACUGAGACACGGCCCAAACUCCUACGGGAGGCAGCAGUGGGGAAUAUUGGACAAUGGGCGAAAGCCUGAUCCAGCCAUGCCGCGUGAGUGAUGAAGGCCCUAGGGUUGUAAAGCUCUUUCACCGGUGAAGAUAAUGACGGUAACCGGAGAAGAAGCCCCGGCUAACUUCGUGCCAGCCGCCGCCGUAA